rnacentral:rRNA from 1 species
UGGGGAAUAUUGGACAAUGGGCGCAAGCCUGAUCCAGCCAUGCCGCGUGAGUGAUGAAGGCCUUCGGGUUGUAAAGCUCUUUUGGCGGGGACGAUGAUGACGGUACCCGCAGAAUAAGCCCCGGCUAACUUCGUGCCAGCAGCCGCGGUAAGACGAAGGGGGCUAGCGUUGUUCGGAAUUACUGGGCGUAAAGCGAGUGUAGGUGGUUAUCCAAGUUGGAUGUGAAAGCCUUGAGCUUAACUCAUGAAAUGCAUUCAGGACUGGAUGGCUAGAGGACCGGAGAGGAUAGUGGAAUUCCCAGUGUAGUGGUGAAAUACGUAGAGAUUGGGAAGAACACCAGUGGCGAAGGCGGCUAUCUGGACGGUUUCUGACACUAAGACUCGAAAGCGUGGGGAGCAAACAGGAUUAGAUACCCUGGUAGUCCACGCCGUAAACGAUGUGUGCUAGACGUCGGGAGGCUUGCCUCUCGGUGUCGCAGCUAACGCGAUAAGCACACCGCCUGGGGAGUACGGCCGCAAGGUUA